AUACGAAGGGGGCAAGCGUUGUUCGGAAUAACUGGGCGUAAAGCGCACGUAGGCGGAUUGAUCAGUUAGAGGUGAAAUCCCAGGGCUCAACCCUGGAACUGCCUUUAAUACUGUCAGUCUAGAGAUCGAGAGAGGUGAGUGGAAUUCCGAGUGUAGAGGUGAAAUUCGUAGAUAUUCGGAGGAACACCAGUGGCGAAGGCGGCUCACUGGCUCGAUACUGACGCUGAGGUGCGAAAGCGAGGGGAGCAAACAGGAUUAGAAACCCCGGUAGUCC
rnacentral:rRNA from 1 species